GAUGAACGCUGGCGGCGUGCCUAACACAUGCAAGUCGAGCGAUUCUCUUCGGAGAAGAGCGGCGGACGGGUGAGUAACGCGUGGGUAACCUGCCCUGUACACACGGAUAACAUACCGAAAGGUAUGCUAAUACGGGAUAACAUAAGAAAUUCGCAUGUUUUUCUUAUCAAAGCUCCGGCGGUACAGGAUGGACCCGCGUCUGAUUAGCUAGUUGGUGAGGUAACGGCUCACCAAGGCAACGAUCAGUAGCCGACCUGAGAGGGUGAUCGGCCACAUUGGAACUGAGACACGGUCCAAACUCCUACGGGAGGCAGCAGUGGGGAAUAUUGCACAAUGGGCGAAAGCCUGAUGCAGCAACGCCGCGUGAGCGAUGAAGGCCUUCGGGUCGUAAAGCUCUGUCCUCAAGGAAGAUAAUGACGGUACUUGAGGAGGAAGCCCCGGCUAACUACGUGCCAGCAGCCGCGGUAA
rnacentral:rRNA from 1 species